GAUGAAGAACGUAGCGAAAUGCGCUAAGUAAUGUGAAUUGCAGAAUUCAGUGAAUCAUCGAAUCUUUGAACGCACAUUGCGCCCGCCAGUAUUCUGGCGGGCAUGCCUGUCCGAGCGUCAUUUCAACCAUCAAGCCCCGGGCUUGUGUUGGGGACCUGCGUCCGACGCAGGCCCUGAAAACCAGUGGCGGGCUCGCUGUCCACACCGAGCGUAGUAACUAACCUCGCUAUGGAGUGGCGCGGGCGCCUGCCGUAAAACCCCCAAUUUCACAAGGUUGACCUCGGAUCAGGUAGGAAUACCCGCUGAACUUAAGCAUAUCAAUAAGCGGAGGA
rnacentral:misc_RNA from 1 species